GAUGAAGAACGCAGCGAAAUGCGAUAAGUAAUGUGAAUUGCAGAAUUCAGUGAAUCAUCGAAUCUUUGAACGCACCUUGCGCCCUUUGGCAUUCCGAAGGGCAUGCCUGUUUGAGUAUCAUGAACACCUCAACUCUUCAUGGUUUUCCAUGAUGAGCUUGGACUUUGGGGGUCUUGCUGGCCUGCGGUCGGCUCCUCUCAAAUGAAUCAGCUUACCAGUGUUUGGUGGGCAUCACAGGUGUGAUAACUAUCUGCGCUUGUGGUUUUCCACCAAGUAACCUUCAGCAGUGGAGGUUCACUGGAGCUCACAAACGUCUCUCCUCAGUGAGGACAGCCCUUUGAAUGUUUGAUCUCAAAUCAGGUAGGACUACCCGCUGAACUUAAGCAUAUCAAUAAGCGGAGGA
rnacentral:misc_RNA from 1 species